GCCGUGUUGGCGCAGUGGUAGUCGCGUCUCACUUGUAACAUUGCAUAUUAUUAUGUAAUCAAGUACAUGAGAAGGUCAUUCGUUCAAUCCGGGUACUCGGCA